rnacentral:lncRNA from 1 species
CAUGGCAGACCUUGAGACUGGGUUGAUGUGGAAGUGAUUUUAUCAAGAAGUUCUGCAGGAAAAAGGUUAAAACUCCCAAAGGAGGGGCAUGCCCAAGAUGGCCGAAUAGGAACAGCUCCAGCCUACAGCUCCCAGCAUGAGCGACACAGAAGACGGGUGAUUUCUGCAUUUUCAACUGAGGUACUGGGUUCAUCUCACUGGGACAUGUCGGACAGUUGGCGUUGGUACAUGGGUACAGCCCGACUAGCAAGAGCUGAAGCAGGGCGAGGCAUCACCUCACCUGGGAAGUGCAAGGGAGAAGGGAAUUCCUUUUCCUAGCCAAAGGAAAUUGAGACACACAACAUCUGGAAAAUCAGGUAACUCCCACCCUAAUACUGUGCUUUACCAAGGCUCUUAGCAAAGGGCACACCAGGAGAUUAUAUCCCACACCUGGCCCAGAGGGACCCAAGCCCACGGAGCCUCCCUCAUUGCUAGCGUGGCAGUCUGAGAUCUAACUGCAAGGUGGUAGUGAGGCUGGGGGAGGGGCAACAGCCAUUGCUGAGGCUUAAGUAGGUAAACAAAGCCGCCUGGAAGCUCAAAUUGGGUGGAGCCCAACACAGCUCAAGGAGGCCAGCCUGCCUCUGUAGACUCCUCCUCUGGGGACAGGUCAUAGCUACACAAAAAGCAGCAGAAACCUCAGCAGAGGUAAAUGUCCCUGUCUGACAGAUUUGAAGAGAGCAGUGGAUCUCCCAGCACGAAGGUCGAGAUCUGAGAAUAGACAGACUGCCUGCACAAGUGGGUCCCUGACCCCUGAGUAGCCUAACUGGGAGACAUCCCCCACUUGGUGCAGACCGACACCUCACACCUCACAUGGUGGAAUACACCCCUGAGAUGAAGCUUCCAGAGCAAGAAUCAGAUAGCAACACUCGCUGUUCAGCAAUAUUCUAUCUUCUGUAGCCUCCGCUGCUGAUACUCAGGCAAUCAGGGUCUGGGGUGGACCUCAAGCAAACUCCAACAGACCUACAGCUGAGGAUGCUGACUGUUAGAAGGAAAACUAACAAACAGAAGGGACACCCACACCAAAACCCCAUCAGUACAUCACCAUCAUCAAAGACCAA